UACGAAGGGGGCUAGCGUUGCUCGGAAUCACUGGGCGUAAAGGGUGCGUAGGCGGGUCUUUUAAGUCAGGGGUGAAAUCCUGGAGCUCAACUCCAGAACUGCCUUUGAUACUGAAGAUCUUGAGUUCGGGAGAGGUAAGUGGAACUGCGAGUGUAGAGGUGAAAUUCGUAGAUAUUCGCAAGAACACCAGUGGCGAAGGCGGCUCACUGGCCCGAUACUGACGCUGAGGCACGAAAGCGUGGGGAGCAAACAGG
rnacentral:rRNA from 1 species